rnacentral:rRNA from 1 species
UACGGUAGGGGCAAGCGUUGUCCGGAAUCAUUGGGCGUAAAGAGCGUGUAGGCGGCCAGAAAAGUCCGCUGUGAAAACUCGAGGCUCAACUUCGAGCUGUCGGUGGAAACUUUCUGGCUAGAGUCCGGAAGAGGAGAAUGGAAUUCCUGGUGUAGCGGUGAAAUGCGCAGAUAUCAGGAAGAACACCCGUGGCGAAGGCGGUUCUCUGGGACGGUACUGACGCUGAGACGCGAAAGCGUGGGGAGCGAACAGG